GCUCCUGCAAAUAUUCUUUUAUUUUUUUUCAAAUGCCGCCUGACAAUCAUCAUUCCACCUGACCGUUUGAUCUCUUUUUUUUUUAAUAUGGGUUCACACGUGGCUGUUAGACGAGAUAUGAACCGUGAGAUACAGUUCAAUCUACCUAAGAAACCACAAACCUCUUUUUCCGUUCUCGGUUCAGACAUUUCUUGAAUUU
rnacentral:lncRNA from 1 species